rnacentral:misc_RNA from 1 species
GACGAACCGUGCGAACGUUGUUCGGAAUCACUGGGCUUAAAGGGAGCGUAGGCGGGCUAUCAAGUCUGGGGUGAAAUGCCACGGCUCAACCGUGGAACUGCCUUAGAUACUGACGGCCUUGAGGGAGAUAGGGGCAUGCGGAACUGUAGGUGGAGCGGUGAAAUGCGUUGAUAUCUACAGGAACUCCGGUGGCGAAAGCGGCGUGCUGGAUCUCUUCUGACGCUGAGGCUCGAAAGCUAGGGGAGCAAACGGG